UUUCAAUUUGAUUAUGGUCCUAUUGAGUGAUGUGACAUGUUUACCCGAAGUGAAGAAUUGAAGAAGGAGAUGUCAACAUUGCGUCUAAUUUCAGCAGAUUAAAUGUGUAUGAAAUGUUGGUGAGAAUCUCCCUUAACAAUCUCCAAAGCAGACCUUCUAGAUUGCAUCAAGGACCAAAUAAGAUCAAAAUUUGUUGAAGAGCCAAAAAAAAAAAAAGUAUUUUAUGGACAAAUAUAAUAAUUUAGGGGUUAUAUUUGUGUUUUACAAAAUGUUCUACUUCAUACUAUUAAGAUAUUUUUUAUCCGUUUUAUUGAUAGUAUUGAUAUGAAGAUAUUGUUUUUCUUUUAAUACAGAAAAUAUCAUACAAUGUGAACUAAAAUUCCGGUCAUGAACACCACCAACAUCAAAAUGUAUAAGAGAUUGUAAAUAAAAAGUAUGUUCAACAAAAGUGACAUGGAAGGGGUGAGUAUGACCAUAUUGUGCAAGCAUACAAGCACAAUGAUUUUUUUCUCUAGGAGCGAAGUAAAUAAUACUAUGAUAAAUGCUAGCAAUACUCUCUUUCCAACACUCACUUUUUUAUAGGUUGAAACAUGUGUGGGUCCUACCACUUUACGUGAGAUCCAUUUUCAAUGUGAGGGACUCACACAUGUUUUAACCAAUAAAAAAGUGAGUGUUGGAGAGAGUGUUGCUAGCACUCCUCAUAAUACUAUUUCAGUCUUUUUGGAACAAAUCCCAUAUUUUAUUGAUCAAUUAUAAGCAAAAGAGUGUAAUACUAAUUCGUAUGACCUUUUGUGUUCAUAUGAAAUAGAGAAAAAGAAUAGUAUAUCUGAAAGAUGAUGUUUCCAAGCAAGAUGCCACUCCGAAAGGCCCAAAUUUCUGCAAAGAAGGCACUAGUAGAAAUCACCUUAGAAUACAAACUUAUGAUAAUCAUAUUAUUCUGGUCUUACGUGAUAUCUCCAAAGGUCUAAGAACAAGUAGAAAAGCAAUAUGCACUGUCAAAUUCAUUUUGAGGAUCCUAAUUGCAGUCAGUAUAGACCAAAGUAAUGUUGGAGUAAUAUUACCAAUUGUUUUUUUUGCCAUCUAUGGUGUUUACGUGGGGAGUCUCCUUGCCUACUGACGAGCUGAAUUCUGUUAGAAAAUCAGUCAGUACCUAUGAUUUGAUAUUUCCUAUGGAUAUAUGGUUGAUAUCAUAGUCAAAUAGUUCAACCGACUAAGAUACCAUCUUCCCUGUUAGAUCUGACUUCUUCAGGACCUGCCAAAUGAGAUAAUUGGUUUUUACCAUUAUCUAAUGCCCUUGAAAGUAAGGUAUGGAUUUUCUUGCAGUUAUUAGGACUGACAAAGAAAGUCUUUCAAUCUUCUAAUAUCAGACCUCAAUACCCUUAAAAACCUUGUUCACGAAAUACACAAGUCGCUCGACUUUAUUUAUCUCUUGGACGAGCACCAAACUCAUCGCUUGGUUAGUAACAGACAUGUAUAUGUAGAGUGGCAAAACUGCUAUUGGGCGUGUCAAGAUGGGCAGCAACGCUAUGCAGACCUUUAAGUUUAAGAACGUCUCCUCACACUCGCUCGUCUAUUCGAACUUCUCCUUUUUCUUCAAAGUGGCAAAGAAAUGAAAAACAUUGUCACCUAUACAAGAAAGGGUACGAGGUAAGACAGCUAAAAGGCCUGUUAGUUGUUGAACUUCCUUAAAAUUGGAAGGGCUCUUCAUGACAAUGAUGGUCUGACAAUUAUCUCGGUUCACCUCUAUACAUCUCUUAGUUAACAUAAAACUUAGAAAAUUUCCCGCUUGUACGUCAAAUGAGCACUUAGCGGGAUUUAGGUUCAUGAUGUAGCUCCUGACCGAUUCCAAGAUGUCUUCUAUGUCUGU